rnacentral:lncRNA from 1 species
AGCGCAUGCGCUUUAGCGAGGCAGUCUCGGGCGCCCAGCUGUCAGAGCUGUUAGCCUGCUUAAACAGAGGAAAAUGGUACAGGCAGAGCUGGUCUGGUAUCAGGAAAAAGGCUGCCUACGAUAAUCCACUGCAGGACCCUAAAAGUCUCGACCUUAGGGCCCCCUCGGACCGUCUCCAAGGUCGGGUCCCGCUGGAGAAGGAGGCAUUUCGAGAGUGUUGGAAACACCUUAUUUGUAGAAUCUACGAAGGGACAUUUUGGAACCCAUUGAGACCUAUAGUGAAACACUGAUUGUUUCACAAUGAAAACUGAAAACGUUAUCUAGGAAAAUGCUUUGCGUGUGUAGAUUCUACUCAGACAGGUUUGAAAUACUCUAAGACAUUUUGGAGCUCUUGGGGCCUAUAAUGAAGAAACGUAUAUCCUGCGAUGAAAACUUGAAACAAGCUACCUGUGAAAAUGCUUUGCAAUGUGUAGAUUCAUCUGACAGUUAAACCUUUGUUUUGAUUCAACAGGGGUUUGGGAACAUACUUUUUAUAUAACUUAUGAAUGGACAUUUCAGAGCCCAUUGAAGCCUAUACUGAAAAUCCAAAUAUCCUGCGAUAAAAACUAGGAGUAAGCUAUCUGUGAAAAUGCUUUGCGAGGUUUGGAUUAAUCUCACAGAUUUAAGCUGUUGCUUUGAUUUAGCAGGUUGGAAACCCUCUUUUUCUACAAUCUACUAGGGUACUAUUCGGACCAAAUUGAGGCCUAUACUGAAAAACUGAUUAUCCCGUGAUAAAAACUAGAAAAAAGCUGUCAGUAAAAAUGCUGUGCAAUAUGUGGAUUCAUGUCACAAAUUUAAACCUCUGCAUUUAUUCAGCAAGUUUGGAAUACCUUUUUGUAGAAUAUACAAAGGGAUGUUUCACACCUAUAAAAGCCUAUAGUAAAAAAGUUGGAAACACUCUUUUGUAAAAUCUACAAAGAAACAUUUUGGAGUCCAUUGAGGCCUAUAGUGAAAAACUGAAUAUUUCGCCUUGAAAACCAGAAACAAGCUAUCUGUGAAAAUGCUUUGUGAUGGAAGAUUUAUCUCACAGAGUUAAACGUUUGUAUUGAUUCAGCUGGCUGGCAACACUCUUUUUGUAAAAUCUACAAUGGGACAUUUCAGAGACCAUUGAAGUCUACAGAAAAAGACUGAAUAUCCCAUGAUUAAAACUAGAAACAAGCUAUCCAUCAAAA